AUGAGCCUAGGUCGGAUUAGCUAGUUGGUGGGGUAAAGGCCUACCAAGGCGACGAUCCGUAACUGGUCUGAGAGGAUGAUCAGUCACACUGGAACUGAGACACGGUCCAGACUCCUACGGGAGGCAGCAGUGGGGAAUAUUGGACAAUGGGCGAAAGCCUGAUCCAGCCAUGCCGCGUGUGUGAAGAAGGUCUUCGGAUUGUAAAGCACUUUAAGUUGGGAGGAAGGGCAGUAAGUUAAUACCUUGCUGUUUUGUUGUUAUCAACAGAAUAAGCACCGGCUAACUUCGUGCCAGCAGCCGCGGUAAUACGAAGGGUGCAAGCGUUAAUCGGAAUUACUGGGCGUAAAGCGCGCGUAGGUGGUUCAGCAAGUUGGAUGUGAAAUCCCCGGGCUCAACCUGGGAACUGCAU
rnacentral:rRNA from 1 species